AUGUUAAGUGUGAAACGGCU
rnacentral:piRNA from 1 species